rnacentral:rRNA from 1 species
GGGUCAGCGACUUAUAUUCUGUAGCAAGGUUAACCGAAUAGGGGAGCCGAAGGGAAACCGAGUCUUAACUGGGCGUUAAGUUGCAGGGUAUAGACCCGAAACCCGGUGAUCUAGCCAUGGGCAGGUUGAAGGUUGGGUAACACUAACUGGAGGACCGAACCGACUAAUGUUGAAAAAUUAGCGGAUGACUUGUGGCUGGGGGUGAAAGGCCAAUCAAACCGGGAGAUAGCUGGUUCUCCCCGAAAGCUAUUUAGGUAGCGCCUCGUGAAUUCAUCUCCGGGGGUAGAGCACUGUUUCGGCAAGGGGGUCAUCCCGACUUACCAACCCGAUGCAAACUGCGAAUACCGGAGAAUGUUAUCACGGGAGACACACGGCGGGUGCUAACGUCCGUCGUGAAGAGGGAAACAACCCAGACCGCCAGCUAAGGUCCCAAAGUCAUGGUUAAGUGGGAAACGAUGUGGGAAGGCCCAGACAGCCAGGAUGUUGGCUUAGAAGCAGCCAUCAUUUAAAGAAAGCGUAAUAGCUCACUGGUCGAGUCGGCCUGCGCGGAAGAUGUAACGGGGCUAAACCAUGCACCGAAGCUGCGGCAGCGACGCUUAUGCGUUGUUGGGUAGGGGAGCGUUCUGUAAGCCUGUGAAGGUGUGCUGUGAGGCAUGCUGGAGGUAUCAGAAGUGCGAAUGCUGACAUAAGUAACGAUAAAGCGGGUGAAAAGCCCGCUCGCCGGAAGACCAAGGGUUCCUGUCCAACGUUAAUCGGGGCAGGGUGAGUCGACCCCUAAGGCGAGGCCGAAAGGCGUAGUCGAUGGGAAACAGGUUAAUAUUCCUGUACUUGGUGUUACUGCGAAGGGGGGACGGAGAAGGCUAUGUUGGCCGGGCGACGGUUGUCCCGGUUUAAGCGUGUAGGCUGGUUUUCCAGGCAAAUCCGGAAAAUCAAGGCUGAGGCGUGAUGACGAGGCACUACGGUGCUGAAGCAACAAAUGCCCUGCUUCCAGGAAAAGCCUCUAAGCAUCAGGUAACAUCAAAUCGUACCCCAAACCGACACAGGUGGUCAGGUAGAGAAUACCAAGGCGCUUGAGAGAACUCGGGUGAAGGAACUAGGCAAAAUGGUGCCGUAACUUCGGGAGAAGGCACGCUGAUAUGUAGGUGAAGUCCCUCGCGGAUGGAGCUGAAAUCAGUCGAAGAUACCAGCUGGCUGCAACUGUUUAUUAAAAACACAGCACUGUGCAAACACGAAAGUGGACGUAUACGGUGUGACGCCUGCCCGGUGC